rnacentral:lncRNA from 11 species
ACAAUAUCUAAUGCAUACAUGGUAAUCCUUAUCUAAGAUUGUAACCUGAGCUUGUUCAUUGUUUAAGAAAAUUUUCUCAGGAUCUGGCACUGUACAUAACCAUAACCUCUGUUUUUGGCCCCAGACAUAGAAUACUGCAGUUACUACAUCUCUACCAUAAUACAAAUGAAAAAUUCAUUAAACAAUACAAGCCAUGUCAAUUAUUGUCAAUAUGGAGUUUAUCAGGCUCACUAAAAUAGAUACAAUUGAAUAUUUAAUUCUUAUUUUAUGUCAGCUCUUCAGAUUUUGCUGGAUACUAAAUCCCAUCUGCCAAUGGAUUUUGAAAAUUGAGAUGCACAUUAGAGUCAAUCCCUUUCUGACUAUUUGAAGACUAAACAUACACAAAGGAGGUGCCAAUACAAUUCCAGGAACAAUUCAAAACUUCAUAGAGCUUAGGUCCGGGCUAUCUGAAGGACUUCAUCAUCUUUGGGAGUUUCUAAACAGAGGCCGGAUGGCAGCUAAGAAGGUCCAUGCCUGAUGAGCUUCCGCUAAACCAGAUCAGCCAGGAUAGAGAAAAAGCACUCUGGGUUGAGGGCAAACUACAGAGGUUUAUUACAGUUCAGCAAAAAGGGAUGUAGGAAUAGCCGAAUACUCAAAAUGUAUGAGCAUAACUCCAUAGAAAAUACAAGACAUUUCAUACACUUCUAACAGCUAUUCAGACUUCCCGCACCUCCUCCUGAUUACCUGAGAAACAGACCUUCUAGAAUCCACACAGGGAUUGGCUAAAGGUUUCUAUGAUGUCACAGACAGGAAGAGGGGAUCACCAAAGCAAGACGAAGAACAGAUGGUGAUUGGUAGGUUUGAAAGUCCAAUCCAUUGCAGAGAUGCCGCCAUUAAGGGCAUAAAUGUGAAGGAGACAUGGGUAUGUAGAUGAUUCCUUAAUUCAUUUAAGUGUCCAGAUCCUUGGAGAUAAAGAUUCAAGAUUCAGAAAAAAAGGUGACAAUCCUGGAUAACCAGAGGCUUGGCUGCCUAUUCAGAAGGUUAAAGUAUUCAUAUCUUAUCUUCUCUUCCAUGGGAAUGGUAAGAUUCCAGUCAUAGUUAAAUGGGUAAACAUCCCAAGCUCAUCUUGGUGACAAAGCGACCAACUGUCGUACACACAUAUAUAAAGGGUCUGAUAUUAUAUGGCUUGGGAGACCACUGAAGGGACCUUCCUUACUUGUUCAGCCAUCUCUGUACCUAGGAGCUUGUGUAAAAGGAAACACUGUGAGAAGCAGAUGUCUUCAGGAUACCUUUGAUACAGUUUUACACAUUUAGAAAUUGAUACAGUACACAAGUUAUAUGCAAGUUAUACAAGAAAUAAUUCUAUAAAUUUUUUAAGUAUUUAAAAGUAAAGUAUUUAAAGUAUUCCGGAGCUUCCAGUUGCUUUGAUACUGUAGAACUUUGAAAGAGCAGAAAAUAUUUUUUAAAUAAAAAGGAAAUCAUAUCUCUUUUUAGGAGUCUCCCUGAAGGUUCAGAUCAAUUUGAGGAGAGGGAUGCCAUAGCUCAACAACACUAGGGAGGUUAAAAUGGCUUCUUAUUUGCCAUUUUUUCUAUUCUAGCAUGGCUUUGCUUGUUAACAAGAGAAAGACACUACAGCUGUCUAUUCCUGUUCCAUGAUUUCUGAGUAUAGUUGAACAUUUCAUAUUCCUCAGAUUGGUAAAAAGUGAAACUGCAACAAAACAAUUUCAGAAGACACCGUCAGCAACAGCAAUACUUUAAAUGCCCCUUCCCUUUCUUCCAAAUUGACAUUUCCUAUUAACAAGGCUUUUUAUCUAUACUUUUUUCAUUUAUAUUGAAGGUACACUACAUCUUUAUGGGAUGCAUAUUUAUAAUGCCCAUGCUUCGUGAAAUUAUCUAUUGAUCUCUACCCCCAAAUACAGCAAAAUAGUCUUACUUAUUCGGCAAUGCAAGUGUUUCAGCAAGUUUGUAUGUAAUGAAGGGUUUAUUUUUUAAAAUUCAUAUAGUCAGCACUCCAUGUUCACUGGAGUUAGGGGCACAGGGCCCUGGCAAAAGGGGGAAAUGCAAAUAAAGAAACACUAUUUUUUUAACCUGAGAGAAGACCUCUCUACCAAUCGCUAGAUGCUCUAAUGCAAUCCAAUGAUCAAUGUCUCCCUGUGGUCUUCCAGAUGACCACUGGGUCAUCUGGCAAGGAUAUCAUUGAGUUAAACAUGUCAAGGGC